rnacentral:rRNA from 1 species
GACGAACGCUGGCGGCGUGCUUAACACAUGCAAGUCGAACGGAAAGGCCCUGCUUUUGUGGGGUGUUCGAGUGGCGAACGGGUGAGUAACACGUGAGUAACCUGCCCUUGACUUUGGGAUAACUUCAGGAAACUGGGGCUAAUACCGGAUAGGAGCUCCUGCUGCAUGGUGGGGUUGGAAAAGUUUCGGCGGUUGGGGAUGGACUCGCGGCUUAUCAGCUUGUUGGUGGGGUAGUGGCUUACCAAGGCUUUGACGGGUAGCCGGCCUGAGAGGGUGACCGGCCACAUUGGGACUGAGAUACGGCCCAGUCUCCUACGGGAGGCAGCAGUGGGGAAUAUUGCACAAUGGCGGAAGCCUGAUGCAGCAACG